CAUCAGGGGUCUCACAAUUUCUGAAAUGUCAUGAAUAUUUUUGAUAGCAUCAUUAUGCGGCUCGACCACUUAAACCCAGAGAAGCUGUAGAGUAGAAGGGAGGCUGGCUGGCUGCACAAGCAGCUGGAAAGCAUGCAAUUUUUGUCAAAGCAUUUGUAGUAAUUCAUUCAUCAUUUUUUUUUCAACACAAAAUUCUUUUGAGUGUUAUUUUUCUGUCCUUUUUCUUUUUUUAAAUAUCAGACGUAAUUACUUUGUUGAACAAUCACUACUGUCGAGGAUGAACCGAACUGACAGACGAUGAAAUGAUAGUUACACAAUGUUCUCUCUCGGUUUGGACUCGGGAUCUUUAUAUAUUGGAAGUUGAAGGGGG
rnacentral:misc_RNA from 1 species